UACGAGGGGGGCGAGCGUUUGUUCGGAAUUAUUGGGCGUAAAGGGUGCGUAGGCGGUUCCGCAAGUCCUGUGUGAAAUCUUCGGGCUCAACUCGAAGUCUGCACGGGAAACUGCGGGGCUUGAGUGUGGGAGAGGUGAGUGGAAUUCCCGGUGUAGCGGUGAAAUGCGUAGAUAGUCGGGAGGAACACCUGUGGCGAAAAGCGGCUCACUGGACCAUAACUGACGCUGAGGUGCGAAAGCGUGGGUAGCAAACAGG
rnacentral:rRNA from 1 species